UUUUUUGACUAACCUAAAUCUGCAAAUUGCAACUCUCUACGAGGAUGUCUCUUCUCUUUCUUUCUCGCCAGUGCGCUGCCACAACAACUCACCGGUGUACCGUUGAUCAACAACUCGCCAAUAUGCUGCCGAAGUUCAAAGAUUUUUUGCUCCCCUCCUCGGAGUUGAAAGAAGGGGAUUGCACUGUUAGUUGUGGGUGAAGGAAAAGAGCAUAUCAAACAAAAAGAUGAUAAAUACAAAUGAAUAGAUAGACAAAUCUCUUGAUGAGAAUGGGCAGCUCAAGUUCAAGCUGAAUUCUUCAGUCACCAGCAAGGAAACGCCAGAAUUCGAACACUUGUCCAUUUAGUCUUAUCUUUGUGUAAUUCUCUUUGUAUUAAAAUCGUUUGUCACACUUUUAUUAGUAAUUUCACAUCUUAUCUGUUGAAGGUCGUCUUCUUCAUUUCUUUCCCGCUUGUACAGAACAUUAUUAGAGGAGCUUUAAUGCUCAAGUUUUGAAUGAGAACUUCGGUACAAUUCCAUGUACUUUUUGCUG